rnacentral:rRNA from 1 species
CCUACGGGCGGCAGCAGUGGGGAAUAUUGGGCAAUGGGCGCAAGCCUGACCCAGCAAUGCCGCGUGAAGGAAGAAGGCUUUCGGGUUGUAAACUUCUUUGACAGGGGAAGAGCAGAAGACGGUACCCUGAAAACAAGCCACGGCUAACUACGUGCCAGCAGCCGCGGUAAUACGUAGGUGGCAGGCGUUGUCCGGAUUUACUGGGUGUAAAGGGAGCGUAGACGGCGUGCCAAGUCUGAUGUGAAAGGCCGGGGCUCAACCCCGGGACUGCAUGGGAAACUGGCAUGCUGGAGUGCCGGAGGGGCAAGCGGAAUUCCUAGUGUAGCGGUGAAAUGCGUAGAUAUUAGGAGGAACACCGGUGGCGAAGGCGGCUUGCUGGACGGUAACUGACGUUGAGGCUCGAAAGCGUGGGGAGCAAACAGGAUUAGAUACCCCAGUAGUC